AGCUCGUCCCGUGGUUCAUCCUCCUCUAGGAACCGCUGUAGUUUAGGGCCGCCAAACCCCUACAAAGAGCACCUGAUGGCCUACAAGCCACCGAUUAAUUGCGAGUGUGGAUUCAAGAUGCCAAGAUGGAUUUCAUGGAGUGAUGACAAUCCUGGAAGAAGAUAUCACAAGUGCAGGUUUCGGAAGAUUGGAGGCACUGAUAGCUGUGAGGUGUACUACUGGUUCGAUGAUCCGACAACACCAUUUGUCAGGCGACUUAUUGUGGACCUGCGCAAUGUUGUAUGGGAGAAGAGCGAGGAGAACAUGAGG
rnacentral:rRNA from 1 species